rnacentral:rRNA from 1 species
GGGUAAUGCCGGGGCCGCAGCGGAGGUAUGACGGAUGGUCCGAGGGUGAAUCGUAAUUAGUGUGCGUCAAUCGUGGGCAGGCUGUUUGUUAAGCGAGAAGUGGAAGGUCUGGGCUCAAGCUAGGAAUAGCAUUGCGAACUGGCGAACGAGAGUCUUGUGGAAGGGGGUAUAAUGCCAGGGGGAGCGGUGAAAUGCGUAGAGAUCUGGAGGAAUACCGGUGGCGAAGGCGGCCCCCUGGACAAAGACUGACGCUCAUGCACGAAAGCGUGGGGAUCAAACAGGAUUAGAUACCCGGUAGUC